rnacentral:tRNA from 1 species
AUUUAUAUAAUUUAAAAAAAAUAUUAUAAUGAAGAUAUAAAAAUGAAUAUAAAUUCUAUAAAUA